rnacentral:rRNA from 1 species
AUGAACGCUGGCGGCGUGCCUAAUACAUGCAAGUCGAGCGGACGGACGAGAAGCUUACUUCUCUGAUGUUAGCGGCGGACGGGUGAGUAACACGUGGAUAACCUACCUAUAAGACUGGGAUAACUUCGGGAAACCGGAGCUAAUACCGGAUGAUAUUUUGAACCGCAUGGUUCAAAAGUGAAAGACGGUCUUGCUGUCACUUAUAGAUGGAUCCGCGCUGCAUUAGCUAGUUGGUAAGGUAACGGCUUACCAAGGCAACGAUGCAUAGCCGACCUGAGAGGGUGAUCGGCCACACUGGAACUGAGACACGGUCCAGACUCCUACGGGAGGCAGCAGUAGGGAAUCUUCCGCAAUGGGCGAAAGCCUGACGGAGCAACGCCGCGUGAGUGAUGAAGGUCUUCGGAUCGUAAAACUCUGUUAUUAGGGAAGAACAUAUGUGUAAGUAACUGUGCACAUCUUGACGGUACCUAAUCAGAAAGCCACGGCUAACUACGUG